ensembl:ncRNA lncRNA:CR45249 long non-coding RNA:CR45249
ACAAGAGUUCAUUAGAGUUGACGCUUGCCUUAAAACUGACACACGUUACAUUCGAGCCUGACUGACGAUCGUCGUGGAAUUGGGUCCCUAGUGCAAUUUAGUGCGGCUAAUAAGCAGCCGAGAUGUCGCUGCAACUCAGUUGCGGCUCAAAUGCAACCAGCCGACAUUUAAAAGUCGGGCUCAAUCUGCUGCCGAUCGAUGGCGAAUCAAACUAAUCAUUCAAAAUUCAACACAGGCCCCGACUUUGACUCCGUUGCCUCUUAGCUCAAAGCCAACUAAACUCCGCGCUGUUCAGCUCAAAUUGUCAUCAUUAGGAAAAGGCAAUCGCUACCGCUCAGAGCCACCGUACCGUUGAGCCAACCGCACCACUGAAUCCACCGAAUCCAACGAUUCCGUCGAUGAGCCACCGCUCCCUGCCUAAAUUUGAUUUCUUCCUGCUCCUUUGUGCGCGCUUUUGUGCGCCAUCAAACGCCGGCGACAGUUUGUCAGAUUAUUAUCAGAUUGCACUGGCUCACUUUUGACUUUCGAGCAGCGGCGGUCUAGGAGGAGCUCAUUCGGUCAGCAGAGGCGUCGCCACGAAGGGAUCCGCUCAGCUGACCCAGUUCACCAGCAGGAUGACGCCCAUGUACGGCGCGCAAGGAG